rnacentral:rRNA from 1 species
UACGGAGGGUGCAAGCGUUGUUCGGAUUCAUUGGGCGUAAAGCGAGUGUAGGCGGUCUUACCAGUCGGUUGUGAAAGCCCGGGGCUCAACCCCGGAACUGCGUCCGAUACUGUUUGGCUAGAGUCCCGGAGAGGGUGGCGGAAUUCCCGGUGUAGGGGUGAAAUCCGUAGAUAUCGGGAGGAACACCAGUGGCGAAGGCGGCCACCUGGACGGUGACUGACGCUGAGACUCGAAAGCGUGGGUAGCAAACAGG